UGCAAAUUGACUUGACAAGGAAAGGGGCGGAAGGCAGCUCCGGGCCAGAGCAAAUGCGGAAAGGCGGCUCCGGGCCAAAGCGAAGGCAGUGCAGGC